GCAAGAUGAAUCAAUACCCAGUUCUAACAGUCAAACUUUUCUCAUGCCUACAUCGUGUUGCGAACAGUGUCAGAUAUGGCCAGCUCUUGUUGAUUGAAAAUCAAAUGUCUUCUGGUCACUUUGCCAGUGCAAAUCGGGAUCAGUGUGAACACCCAGUUACAGAUUGGCAGCAAACACACACACACACCCCCAUCUAAACAGCUCAGCGCAGAUCACACGUAACCAGACAGUAUAUUCUGUGCCUGCUGCCCCUCUUGUUUGUAUUAGGGCAGCUCGGCCUUUCCUGUCAUUGUGCAUGCUGGAGAUAUUGUGUGUUGCUGGGAUCGACUAAGCACUGAAUCACAGAUGAGGACACACGCACACACACACACUCUCACUGCCUGGACGCUGACACAGUUUGACUAGUAAACAGUCUGUUGGCACUAAUCAAGUCAGGGUGAAAGCUGAGAGUUGAGAGAGCGAGAGAGGGGCGAAAACGGUCUCCCUCUGUUCUAUUGAUAGAGCUGUUUGACUGACAGCCGGGAAGGGCAGUGGAAAGAAGGACAUCGGGUUGGCAGCAGAAAGAGAGAAAAAGAGAGACAUAAAGAGAGACAGAUUCAUCAGUAUGCCACAUGAGCCUACAGAUCACACGAACAGAAUGAAAGAGACGAGGAGCAGAAGAUCCAGAAUAAACUCUCAUAUCCUCAAAAUAUAACAGAACGGAACGGAAAUGCAGAACUAAGAGAAGCCCCCACAUCUGAAUAUGACUACCGACCGUUCCCCACCAUCUCACACACUCGGAAUCCUUGGAGACAGAGAAAAGAACAUGGCAGGAAGAGGGAGAAAGAGGGUGGGCGGCAGCCUCCUGUGGCUGGUCAUCGAGUGUUUCCUGUGUGGAUUUUCGUAAUCUCCUAUAAUCUCAGUCACUCACUCACUCACAGGUCUCACACUAAGUGCUGCUGUUAUCUAAACCCUUUAAAACAAAUUUACACCCUCUCACAAGAAUGAGUUACUCACUCCAGCUGAUAACGUUAUCCUCAAACACACACCUGUUGGCACAGAUGUAGCUGACAGUCUCUACAUAGACAAACAAAUCAGUUUGACUGCAUAGAAAGAUGCAUCCAAGAAUUCCCAGAAUGUAAUCAAAUUCCCAAAACAUUGUUAAACAUUAUUCCCUGCUUGGACAUAAAUGAGUUAACUGGCUGUUCAUCCUGCUUAAUGUUUAUCUUGAACGACUGGUAAAAUCAGCCUACAGUAUGUCAAUGCCACUGAUGUUUAAAGAUGUCUUUCUGUCCCUUACGUUUGCAUUACUUCCCACAAAUCAUCUCUGCUUGAAUAACAUGGAUGGAGCCAUCACUGUUGGAGCCGGUUCCAACUGACGAUUCGAAGCAUUACGUUUUGCUUUUAGCUUCAAGCAGAGGAAAUGUCCGCAAUAAAAACAACUAGUUCCAAAUGACUCUUGAGAGUUCUUUAUACUGAAUCAGAAACAUACACAGAGGAGUGUAGUCCAAUUCACUAGCAAAUGACUCUUGUGAGCUAAUUUGUUUGAUGAAUCAUUCAAAAAAUCUACUUUACUAAUACAUUACCAGUUUGAAUCAGCUUGACGAAUGCUUGAUGCUUCCAGAUAAGUUACUGAACUAACAUCUCACUUACUGAAAUGCAAAUGACAUUCUUUUGUGUCCAUCUCAAAAUUAAGCAUAUAUAAAUAUCUGACAAAGGCUAACAUUUAAAUUGUGACAAAUAAUAAGCAAUCUGGAUAGUAGGGAAGAAACCAUCAGAUCGCUGCAUACUAAUUACAUAAAUACACAUCCAUAAUACAAGUCACAGUACAUUAAAAAUCACAGUUUUGUGCUCUUUUUUUGAGCUAAUAUUACACACAAUCUUCCUAUGAAAGAGAAAAGUCAUGUCUAAACUGUGUAUGAACCUGAAAGCAGUUUUAAGAUAACAAAUUCAGCUAAUGUUUACAUGCAAACAGUGCGCAACACAGGUUGGUCUGUGGUAAUCAAGACAGUUUUAUGAUAUGGCACCAAUACUGCAUGCCAAAGUGUGGACUUUCCCCUUAUUAGCAAGGUACAUAAAUUUAAGGCAUAGUCUGGGACAAAUCAAAAUGAAGCCAAAAAAAACGGAACUGAAAAUCAGGGUCUUAUAUCUCUUGUAACAGGUUCUGUUGUCAACAGAAGUCCAAUGGAGAAAAUCACAUUCUCAAAAUGUAACAGCCUCGCAUGGAAAUCAAUAAAAUCUCUGGUUAUUUGAAUAUACUCAAUAAUCGCAUAACAGACUGUGGAUGGUGACCAUUCAGAGAACCUUGUUUUGGACACCUAAAAAGCCAAUUUGCGUGGAAAAUUACCAAUUAGUCAUUGAGAGGACUCUCUUAUCCAGAGUGACAGUUUUUUAACUUAGAAUGAACUGCA